rnacentral:misc_RNA from 1 species
GAUGAAGAACGCAGCGAAAUGCGAUAAGUAGUGUGAAUUGCAGAAUUCAGUGAAUCAUCGAAUCUUUGAACGCACAUUGCGCCCCUUGGUACUCCAUGGGGCAUGCCUGUUCGAGCGUCAUUUACACCCUCAAGCUCAGCUUGGUGUUGGGCGUCUGUCCCGCUUCGUGCGCGGACUCGCCUCAAAUGCAUUGGCAGCGGUCUUGCCAGCUUCUCGCGCAGCACAUUGCGCUUCUAGAGGCUUUGGCGGAUCGGCGUCCAUCAAGUACACCUACAGUUUGACCUCGGAUCAGGUAGGGAUACCCGCUGAACUUAAGCAUAUCAUAAGCGAGGA